rnacentral:rRNA from 1 species
CGUAACAAGGUCUCCGUUGGUGAACCAGCGGAGGGAUCAUUACUGAGUUUACGCUCUACAACCCUUUGUGAACAUACCUAUAACUGUUGCUUCGGCGGGUAGGGUCUCCGCGACCCUCCCGGCCUCCCGCCUCCGGGCGGGUCGGCGCCCGCCGGAGGAUAACCAAACUCUGAUUUAACGACGUUUCUUCUGAGUGGUACAAGCAAAUAAUCAAAACUUUUAACAACGGAUCUCUUGGUUCUGGCAUCGAUGAAGAACGCAGCGAAAUGCGAUAAGUAAUGUGAAUUGCAGAAUUCAGUGAAUCAUCGAAUCUUUGAACGCACAUUGCGCCCGCCAGCAUUCUGGCGGGCAUGCCUGUUCGAGCGUCAUUUCAACCCUCAAGCUCUGCUUGGUGUUGGGGCCCUACAGCUGAUGUAGGCCCUCAAAGGUAGUGGCGGACCCUCUCGGAGCCUCCUUUGCGUAGUAACUUUACGUCUCGCACUGGGAUCCGGAGGGACUCUUGCCGUAAAACCCCCAAUUUUCCAAAGGUUGACCUCGGGUCAGGUAGGAAUACCCGCUGAACUUAAGCAUAUCAAUAA